AAUGACUUGUCUAUGUAAUUGGCUUUUUAGGUAUAUUGGAGGGCUAACUCCUGACCAACCAUGACAGAGCAAUCUCCAAUGAUGUCUGUAUUCUAGGAAACAGGAGAAAGAUCAAUAACAGGAAAAUUACAAAAAGUUCACCGGAGAAGAAAAGGUGUCCAGUGUGAGGUGCAGCUGGUGGAGUCUGCGGGAGGCCUGGUGCAGCCUGGGGGUUCCCUACGACUCUCCUGUGCAGCCUCUGGAUUCACUUUCAGUGACUAUUACGUGU
rnacentral:lncRNA from 1 species